rnacentral:rRNA from 1 species
GAUGACGGGAGCUUGCUCCUUGAUUCAGCGGCGGACGGGUGAGUAAUGCCUAGGAAUCUGCCUGGUAGUGGGGGACAACGUUUCGAAAGGAACGCUAAUACCGCAUACGUCCUACGGGAGAAAGCAGGGGACCUUCGGGCCUUGCGCUAUCAGAUGAGCCUAGGUCGGAUUAACUAGUUGGUGAGGUAAUGGCUCACCAAGGCGACGAUCCGUAACUGGUCUGAGAGGAUGAUCAGUCACACUGGAACUGAGACACGGUCCAGACUCCUACGGGAGGCAGCAGUGGGGAAUAUUGGACAAUGGGCGAAAGCCUGAUCCAGCCAUGCCGCGUGUGUGAAGAAGGUCUUCGGAUUGUAAAGCACUUUAAGUUGGGAGGAAGGGUUGUACGCUAAUACCGUGCAAUUUUGACGUUACCGACAGAAUAAGCACCGGCUAACUCUGUGCCAGCAGCCGCGGUAAUACAGAGGGUGCAAGCGUUAAUCGGAAUUACUGGGCGUAAAGCGCGCGUAGGUGGUUCGUUAAGUUGGAUGUGAAAGCCCCGGGCUCAACCUGGGAACUGCAUCCAAAACUGGCGAGCUAGAGUACGGUAGAGGGUGGUGGAAUUUCCUGUGUAGCGGUGAAAUGCGUAGAUAUAGGAAGGAACACCAGUGGCGAAGGCGACCACCUGGACUGAUACUGACACUGAGGUGCGAAAGCGUGGGG